UACAGAGGGUGCGAGCGUUGUCCGGAAUCACUGGGCGUAAAGGGCGCGUAGGCGGCCUGAUAAGUAGGGGGUGAAAUCUUGCGGCUCAACCGCAAGGCUGCCUUCUAAACUGUCAGGCUGGAGCACGGUAGAGGCAGAUGGAAUUCCUGGUGUAGCGGUGAAAUGCGCAGAUAUCAGGAGGAACACCGGUGGCGAAGGCGGGUCUCUGGGCCGAUACUGACGCUGAGGAGCGAAAGCGUGGGGAGCGAACAGG
rnacentral:rRNA from 1 species